UCAGUUGUCUUAUAAUUGAAGACUGGAAUGAAUGGUUAAACGAAAUUAGAGCUGUUUCAUUUGUAUUUAUUAGAAAUUGGCUUUUAAAUGAAGAGAUUUAAAUUUGAUUAAGGGACAAGAAGACCCUAUUGAGCUUUAAAUAAUUUUGAGGGUUAAAGUUAUUAUAAAGAUCUGUGAUCUUUAGUAUUUUUUUAGUUGGGGCGACUAAGGAACAGGAGAAGCUUCCUUUAUUUGUUUAAUUGAUAAAUUUUGAUCCUGUAUUACUGAUUAAGAGAGAUAGUUACCAUAGGGAUAACAGCAUAAUCUUCUUGGAGAGUUCUUAUUAAAAAGGGGGGUUGUGACCUCGAUGUUGGACUAAAAUAUCCUAAGGGUGUAGAAGC
rnacentral:rRNA from 1 species